AGUAAUGUAUGGGGAUCUGCCCGAUAGAGGGGAAUAACUACUGGAAACGGUGGCUAAUACCGCAUAAUGUCUACGGACCAAAGCAGGGGCUCUUCGGACCUUGCACUAUCGGAUGAACCCAUAUGGGAUUAGCUAGUAGGUGGGGUAAAGGCUCACCUGGGCGACGAUCUCUAGCUGGUCUGAGAGGAUGGUCAGCCACACUGGGACUGAGACACGGCCCAG
rnacentral:rRNA from 1 species